CGGAGGAAAAGAAACCAACAGGGAUUGCCCUAGUAACGGCGAGUGAAGCGGCAACAGCUCAAAUUUGAAAUCUGGCUCUUUCAGAGUCCGAGUUGUAAUUUGCAGAGGGCGCUUUGGCGUUGGCAGCGGUCCAAGUUCCUUGGAACAGGACGUCACAGAGGGUGAGAAUCCCGUACGUGGUCGCUAGCCAUCGCCGUGUAAAGCCCCUUCGACGAGUCGAGUUGUUUGGGAAUGCAGCUCUAAAUGGGAGGUAAAUUUCUUCUAAAGCUAAAUACUGGCCAGAGACCGAUAGCGCACAAGUAGAGUGAUCGAAAGAUGAAAAGCACUUUGGAAAGAGAGUCAAAUAGCACGUGAAAUUGUUGAAAGGGAAGCGCUUGCAGCCAGACUUGCCUGUAGUUGCUCAUCUGGGUUUUUACCCGGUGCAUUCUUCUGCGGGCAGGCCAGCAUCAGUUUGGGCGGUUGGAUAAAGGUCUCUGUCAUGUACCUCUCUUCGGGGAGAACUUAUAGGGGAGACGACAUGCAACCAGCCUGGACUGAGGUCCGCGCAUUUGCUAGGAUGCUGGCGUAAUGGCUGUAAGCGGCCCGUCUUGAAACACGGACCAAGGAGUCUAACAUCUAUGCGAGUGUUUGGGUGUCAAGCCCGAACGCGUAAUGAAAGUGAACGGAGGUGGGACCCCAUUAGGGUGCACCAUCGACCGAUCCUGAUGUCUUCGGAUGGAUUUGAGUAAGAGCAUGGCUGUUGGGACCCGAAAGAUGGUGAACUAUGCUUGAAUAGGGUGAAGCCAGAGGAAACUCUGGUGGAGGCUCGCAGCGGUUCUGACGUGCAAAUCGAUCGUCAAAUUUGGGCAUAGGGGCGAAAGACUAAUCGAACUAUCUAGUAGCUGGUU
rnacentral:rRNA from 1 species